AAAGUCGUAACAAGGUUUCCGUAGGUGAACCUGCGGAAGGAUCAUUAGAGAUGGUGAGGGAUGAUGUUUAUUAACUGGUAGGAUUAGCAAUAAUACAAGCCAGCACAAGGAUAUUUUACAUUAACAAACAAAAGAGAAAUAUAUGAGCACCUUGCUGCAAUGGAUCUCUCGGCUCUU
rnacentral:misc_RNA from 1 species